UACGUAGGGGGCCAGCGUUGCUCGGAAUUACUGGGCGUAAAGGGUUCGUAGGCGGUGCGGCAAGUUUGGGAGUGAAAUCUCUGGGCUUAACUCAGGGGCUGCUUUCAAAACUGCCGCGCUCGAGUGCGAGAGAGGUCAGUGGAAUUGCAGGUGUAGCGGUGAAAUGCGUAGAUAUCUGCAGGAGCACCCGUGGCGAAGGCGGCUGACUGGAUCGCAACUGACGCUGAGGAACGAAAGCUAGGGGAGCAAACAGG
rnacentral:rRNA from 1 species